rnacentral:lncRNA from 1 species
UUUUUCUUUUUUUCUUUUUAGGAGAGGCCAACUCCUUGCAGAUGUUAGUGGCAUUAACAUUCUCUUUCUUGAUGUUAGGACCAUAGUCUACUAGACUUGCAGAAGAGAAUUGAUCUUAGCUUUGCUGGAGGCGUGGAGCCUACGAAUGAUGCUGGCCUGUCCUCUGUGCACUCCAGCCAGGUGUCCAGAUGUUUGUGGAACUUCCCGUUAUUCUAAGCUCUCAAGAUUCAUGGCAGACAAUUUACUCUAAUAAAAACAAAACCUUCUAGGAUGAGCUUCCGGCAUUGCCGUGAGCUGUGGCAUAGGUUGCAGAUGUGUGCCAGAUCUGGUGUUGCUAUGGCUGUGGUAUAGGCCAGUAGCUGCAGCUCUUAUUUGACCCCUAGCCUGGGAACUUCCAUAUAGUGUGGGUACAGCCCUAAAAGGGAAAAAAAAAUAAAUAAAUAAAAAAAUAAAAGGCAAGUAAAAUACUAUGGAACAGAAAGUUUAGAGAAAGUCAGUUAACCUCUUCAAGUCUUAAUUCCUUCCAUUGCAAAUGGGGUUAAAAAUGGGACCUACAGGAAGUCAUUAUGAGGAGUCACUGAUACAAGGCACAUGAGAUUCAUAGAAUAUUCCUGACUUAGAGAGAGCAGAGAAAUUAGGAGUACUCAUCUUCUGAGUCCAAAUCCUAGCUCUAUUACUUGCUUGUGGUUGGACCUUGGGAAAUUAUAUAACUCUCUGUUCUUUGAUUUUUCUCAUUAUAACAUGGGAUUAAUAAUAAUACCUCAUUCAUAGAUUUAUUAUCCUCAUAACAAAUGAACUAAUGUUUAUAAAGCACUUCUUAUAGGGUAAUGCUUAGUUAUUGUUUGCUAACUAAAUAAUGUAGUUAUAAGUACACAAAUGUAAAUUAUCAUUAUUAUAUAUUUAUUAAAAACAAAUAGAAUAUUUUUGGAAAACUUAAAAAUUACCAUAUGAUUACCUUGAGAAUUUAGGAAUCUAAAUAAGGAUAUAAUUAUGAACUUAAUAUAUUGUUAAAUCAAUAUUAAACACAAAUAUAUUUUAAAGAAAACAAGCUAGAAUUUUAUUUGUCAUAACAACACUGAAAAAAUUAUUUUUCAAUCCUUACUAAUGCUAAAACUAAUGGGCAUUAUUUACUCAUAAUUUUAAUUUUGUUU